CCUACGGGAGGCAGCAGUGGGGAAUAUUGGGCAAUGGAGGAAACUCUGACCCAGCGACGCCGCGUGCGGGAUGAAGGCCUUCGGGUUGUAAACCGCUUUCAGUAGGGAAGAAGCGAAAGUGACGGUACCUACAGAAGAAGCACCGGCUAACUAUGUGCCAGCAGCCGCGGUAAUACAUAGGGUGCAAGCGUUGUCCGGAAUUAUUGGGCGUAAAGAGCUCGUAGGUGGUUUGAUACGUCGGGUGUGAAAUUCAGGGGCUCAACCCCUGACCUGCAUUCGAUACGGUCAAGCUAGAGUUUGGUAGGGGAGACUGGAAUUCCUGGUGUAGCGGUGGAAUGCGCAGAUAUCAGGAGGAACACCGAUGGCGAAGGCAGGUCUCUGGGCCAAUACUGACACUGAGGAGCGAAAGCGUGGGGAGCGAACAGGAUUAGAUACCCUGGUAGUCCACGCCGUAAACGGUGGGCGCUAGUUGUGCGAACCUUCCACGGUUUGUGCGACGCAGCUAACGCAUUAAGCGCCCCGCCUGGGGAGUACGAUCGCAAGAUUAAAACUCAAAUGAAUUGACGG
rnacentral:rRNA from 1 species